UCCGAUAUGGUGUAACGGUAACAUACGCGCCUCUCAUUGUUUGAGUCAACGCGCGUGCCCGGGGUUCGAUUCCCCGUGUCGGAA